UAAACCCCUCAACUAAAGAUGAAUCGUAAAAAAAACCAUCAACUAAAAAUCCUGUGAAAUAAACCCUCAACUUUAGUUCCGUUAACAUAUAUUACCCUCCGUCUAAAAAACCGUGACGGAGGGUGACAUAUGUUAACGGUUUAUAAGUUGAGGGUUUAUAAUGUUGAAAACUUAGUUGAGGGUUUUUUUUACGAUUCAAAAAUAGUUGAGGGGUUUUAUCACUAAAAGUCAUUAAAGGGUUUUUAAGUUAUUUAUUAUCCAUUUAUACAUUGUUUUAGAUUGAUUUGUAAGCCUUUAAAACUAAUUUAUAUUUUUAAUAUAUUAAUCUAUUAUAAAAUUAAUUUAUACAUCUUAAAUUAAUAAUUUUCAACACGAUUUACAACUUAUUAUAACUUCAAAAUAUUAAAUUAUUUGAUAUUUGGCAAUAGUGAUAUAAAAAAAUUGUGUGUUUAUAUCGUCAUUUUCAAAUAUCAAAUAAUUGAAAGUUUCUAAGUUAUAUUAAGUCUUAAGUAGUGUUGAGGAUAAUUCAUCCAUGAAGUCAAUCUUUCUAUUUGGAGUAUGACGUACUUUUUCUUAUUUUCAUUAUUUUCGUCAUCAGGCUCAUACUUUCCUAUUUUCCUAUAUUGUUCUUGAUUUAUUGUAUUACUUUAUGUUUCAAAUAUAUUAUUGAUCAAGAAAAUAAAAAUAUAAUGUAGUUAUUCAGAAAUCAAUGAGAAUAAAAAUAAUCAUGCAUUAUUUUGGAGGGGGAGAAGUAUGAAUCGGAUGACAGAAAUCAUGAAAAUAGGAAAAAAUGCGUCAUACUCUAAAUAGAAAGAUUGACUUCAUGGAUGAAUUAUCUCGACACUACUUAAGACUUAAUAUAACUUAGAAACUAUAAAUUAUUUCAUAUUUGACAAUGACGAUAUAAACACACAAAUUUUUUUAUAUCACUAUUGCCAAAUAUCAAAUAAUUUAAUAUUUCAAAGUUAUAAUAAGUUGUAAGUAGUUUUAAAAAUUAUUAAUUUCAGAUGUAUAAAUUAAUAUACAAAUAUAUUAAUGCAUUAAAAUUUAUAAAUUAGUUUUAAAGGCUUAUAAAUCUUAAAACAAUGUAUAAAUGAUAAUAAAUAAUUUAAUAAUAUUUAAUGACUUUUAGUGAUAAAAC
rnacentral:lncRNA from 1 species